rnacentral:rRNA from 1 species
UACGUAGGGUGCGAGCGUUAAUCGGAAUUACUGGGCGUAAAGCGUGCGCAGGCGGGCUUUUAAGCCAGACGUGAAAUCCCCGGGCUUAACCUGGGAAUGGCGUUUGGGACUGGGAGUCUGGAGUGCGGCAGAGGAGACUGGAAUUCCUGGUGUAGCAGUGAAAUGCGUAGAUAUCUGGAGGAACACCGGUGGCGAAGGCGGCAUCCUGGACCGGCAUUGACGCUGAGGAGCGAAAGCCGGGGGAGCAAACGGG